ACAUGAAGUCGGAAUCGCUAGUAAUCGCGGAUCAGCAUGCCGCGGUGAAUACGUUCCCGGGCCUUGUACACACCGCCCGUCACACCAUGAGAGUUUGUAACACCCAAAGCCGGUGGGGUAACCUUUUGGAGCCAGCCGUCUAAGGUGGGACAGAUGAUUGGGGUGAAGUCGUAACAAGGUAAC
rnacentral:rRNA from 1 species